rnacentral:rRNA from 1 species
AUUGAACGCUGGCGGCAGGCCUAACACAUGCAAGUCGAGCGGAUGAAGGGAGCUUGCUCCUGGAUUCAGCGGCGGACGGGUGAGUAAUGCCUAGGAAUCUGCCUGGUAGUGGGGGAUAACGUCCGGAAACGGGCGCUAAUACCGCAUACGUCCUGAGGGAGAAAGUGGGGGAUCUUCGGACCUCACGCUAUCAGAUGAGCCUAGGUCGGAUUAGCUAGUUGGUGGGGUAAAGGCCUACCAAGGCGACGAUCCGUAACUGGUCUGAGAGGAUGAUCAGUCACACUGGAACUGAGACACGGUCCAGACUCCUACGGGAGGCAGCAGUGGGGAAUAUUGGACAAUGGGCGAAAGCCUGAUCCAGCCAUGCCGCAUGUGUGGAGAAGGUCUUCGGAUUGUAAAGCACUUUAAGUUGGGAGGAAGGGCAGUAAGUUAAUACCUUGCUGUUUUGACGUUACCAACAGAAUAAGCACCGGCUAACUUCGUG